UACCCUUGUGAUGAGGGCAUUUUCUAAGCAAAUCAUUAAACCUUUCCCAUGCCUCAUGAAACAUUUCCCCAUCCCCUUGAGAAAAUUCUGUAAAUGAAGUUCUCAUGGCA